rnacentral:rRNA from 1 species
UCGGGAAUUUUGGGCAAUGGGCGAAAGCCUGACCCAGCAACGCCGCGUGAAGGAUGAAGUAUUUCGGUAUGUAAACUUCGAAAGAAUAGGAAGAAUAAAUGACGGUACUAUUUAUAAGGUCCGGCUAACUACGUGCCAGCAGCCGCGGUAAUACGUAGGGACCAAGCGUUGUUCGGAUUUACUGGGCGUAAAGGGCGCGUAGGCGGCAAUUCAAGUCAUCUGUGAAAUCUCCGGGCUUAACCUGGGAAUUGCGUUUGAAACUGCAAGGCUAGAGUGUGGCAGAGGGGGGUGGAAUUCCAUGUGUAGCAGUGAAAUGCGUAGAGAUAUGGAAGAACAUCGAUGGCGAAGGCAACCCCCUGGGUUAACACUGACGCUCAUGCACGAAAGCGUGGGGAGCAAACAGGAUUAGAUACCCCCGUAGUCCCUGAGCGGGCUGGCAAGGCGCAU